rnacentral:lncRNA from 1 species
GCAUAUGCUGACUACAUCGGCUUUAUCCUAACCCUGAAUGAAGGUGUGAAAGGGAAGAAGCUAACCUUCGACUACAAAGUCUCUGAGGUAGGCACAAGCAGGGAGCCUGCUGCAGAGCCAAGCAGGCUGAGCACAGCAGGCGGGUGCAGGCACUGCCCCAGGAUAGUGCAGUUAGCAUUCACGGCCCACAGAUCUAAUGUUUUAAACCUAUGAAUAAAGUAAUAUUUAUAACUGAAA